GUCCUAAGGACUUCAUCAUAUAAGAGUUCAUUUGAAGAUGAAAUGAUGAAUAAUGCCAAAUAAUAUUUUAUUAAUUUAUCAAUUCAUUUACAAAAUUCAAUCAUCAAUAUGCUAACGAUUGACAUUUAGGAUACAAUUCCCAACAACUCCCACUUAGCCUAAAGCCAAUCGGCACAGUAUCUAAUACCCAUCUUCGACUUGUGUUCGUUGAACUCUUUGAUGCCGAGGACUUUGGUAA
rnacentral:lncRNA from 1 species